CAGGAAGGAGGCUGGCAGAGCAGCCUGAGCAUCCAGCACAGCUUUUGCAAGAUGAUCUGAAAUAAAGAUGGCCUUAAAAUGGAAUGUGAAAUGUUGCAGGAACAGUAGUGUGAAUAAUCCCAAAGAGUAAGUAUGGGCUGGGAAAUACCCAUCUGCAACCCUGGAAAGCUGCUGCCGCGUGGGUAGACAAUAUUGAGCUAGAUGCGCCAAUGGUACGAUUCAGUAUAAGGCAACUACUGAUGUAACUUAGCCGCCUGCAGAAAUCUCUCUUCUCUGUCUACGCUAUCUUCCUAUGCUAUUUCCCAGACUUCACCUCUCUUUAGUUACUUGCUUUCUACUUGGUUCUCCACUUCCCAUUAAUUAACGUACUGCCUGAAUGCUGGAGCCCAUGUCUUGCAGCUGAGAUCCUGCCUGCAAAUCACCACAGUAAAACACCAUGCUGCUAUUAAAGGUCUUAAAAGAGGACAUUUGGAAAUGAAGUUAGCAGCUUAGUGCAACUGAUCAGCAGCUCUGCUCGGGAGGUUUGGAGCUGAUGGGAUUUUAACACUGGGAAAAAGAUGAGGCUGCAAAACAAGAUCACACACUUCUAAGCUUCCAGAUUAUUACUUCCACAGCAUCUUUUUUUUAAAAAAGGCUAUUAAAGCAGCAGUCACCUUAUUAAGAGAAGAAAGAAGAUGAAGCCACCAAGUUAAACUGUGCUCCAGUUUAAACCGGUAUAGCUCCUAAAACAACAAACAACAGAUUCAGAUGAGAUUAAAGGUUUAAUAGUCCAUGAAAGACAGCUUGUCUCCCAUUACUAGGGCCGUAUUCGCAUGUAUCGCAGAACCAGGGUUCCGCAUCCCUGCUCUCCCGUCAGACGUUCAGAAGAGCUGUCUCCCUGCAGUCAGCAAAACUGCA